GUGAUGUCAUCAGCAUCCUGAUUGGUCAAAGCUUCUAACAUUCCGGUGCUCCAGUAUAAAUAGAGGCGCAUUUGAGUUUUUUAGCAGUUCGUUGGUUCGUCGUUCGAGAGAGAGGUUCGAGAGUUUGAGAGAGUAUCGGAAAGUGAACAUGUCGCUACCGUUUAGAGCGUUGAUUGUUCCAGGUGGACUUGCACUUGCUGGGUGCCUUUGGUGGUGGUACACCUCACGUAAGCCUACGUCUGAGACAAAAGACACCGCUGAUUCUACUGUAGAGCUUAAAGAGCUCCAAAAGGAAGAUGAACAGUGUGCUCGGUCCAUCCAGACCAGAGCACCUGUCUCUGACAAGCAGCUGCAGGAGCCAUUGAGCACCCAAGACGAACCAGAGGUAGUGAUCCAGGACAUGGUGGACAUCAGUGAGCCAGUUCAGAGCUGUGAGGAGAUCGAGCAGGUCCAGGAUCAGGAGCCACUGAGCACCCUGGAAGAACCAGAGGAAAUGAUACAGGACAUGGUGGACAUCAGUGAGCCAGUCCAGAGCUGUGAGGAGGUCAAGCAGGUCCAGGAUCAGGAGCCAUUGAGCACCCAAGACGAACCAGUGGAAAUGAUCCAGGACACGGUUGACUUCAGUGAGCCAGUUCAGAGCUGUGAGGAGGUCGAGCAGUUCCAGGAUCAGGAGCCACUGAGCACCCUGGAAGAACCAGAGGAACUGAUACAGGACAUCAGUGAGCCAGUCCAGAGCUGUGAGGAGGUCGAGCAGGUUCAGGAUCAGGAGCCACUGAGCACCCUGGAAGUUCAGAGCUGUGAGAAGACAGUGAUCAGACAGUCCUCUAAGGAACAGUGGGCCCCAACCCUCAAGCCGGAGAAGCCGUUUGUCUUAAGGACUAAAAAGGCCAAGAAGGUGAAGAGCUUCGGCCAGUUUGUGUGGGAGAAGAAGCUGCCACAGUCUCUGGUUGGAAGAUUCAUUGGCCAGAAAGGCUGGCACAUUAAGCACCUAAUGGAGGAAUCUGGAGCAAUGAUAGAGCUUAUACCACUGAAAAGCUCUUCAGACCAGAUCAUCCUUGCGGACGGUACAGAGAAGCAAAUCGCCACAGCCGCAACCAUGAUUACAGAGUGGUUAAAACAAUUUGAACGGGAUUUGCCGUCUACCACAUGUAGACCUGUAUUAUCAUGGAGAUGAUGAGGACUACAAAAUAUCAAGCCUUCAGUCUGUGUGCUUAUGUGUGUGUGUGUAUGUGUCUAUCAGAAAAGUUCAAUAAAAAAGCUAUAAAAUAUCUUAAUCCUUGGAUUGAAAUGAUUAAUUUUAAAUUAAAAGAAAAAAAAAACAGG
rnacentral:lncRNA from 1 species